AUGAACGCUGGCGGCGUGCCUAAUACCUGCAAGUCGAGCGAACAGACGAGGAGCUUGCUCCUCUGACGUUAGCGGCGGACGGGUGAGUAACACGUGGAUAACCUACCUAUAAGACUGGGAUAACUUCGGGAAACCGGAGCUAAUACCGGAUAAUAUAUUGAACCGCAUGGUUCCAUAGUGAAAGACGGUUUUGCUGUCACUUAUAGAUGGAUCCGCGCCGCAUUAGCUAGUUGGUAAGGUAACGGCUUACCAAGGCAACGAUGCGUAGCCGACCUGAGAGGGUGAUCGGCCACACUGGAACUGAGACACGGUCCAGACUCCUACGGGAGGCAGCAGUAGGGAAUCUUCCGCAAUGGGCGAAAGCCUGACGGAGCAACGCCGCGUGAGUGAUGAAGGUCUUCGGAUCGUAAAACUCUGUUAUUAGGGAAGAACAAAUGUGUAAGUAACUAUGCACAUCUUGACGGUACCUAAUCAGAAAGCCACGGCUAACUACGUG
rnacentral:rRNA from 1 species